GACGAACGCUGGCGGCGUGCUUAACACAUGCAAGUCGAGCGGCGCGGCGAACGGGUGAGUAACGCGUGAGUAACUGCCCCCCUCUCUGGGAUAACAGUUGGAAACGGCUGCUAAUACCGGAUAGUGGGGGAUGACUCGCGUCCUAGCAGCGUGUGGGUGGGGUAGUGGCCUACCACGGCGACGACGGGUACCCGGCCUGAGAGGGCGACCGGCCAAAUGGGGCUGAGAGACGGCCCAAAAGCCUACGGUAGGCAGCAGGGGGGAAUAUUGCACAAGGGGGGAAACCGUGAUGCAGCAACGCCGGGGGCGGGAUGACGGCCUUCGGGUUGUAAACCGCUUUCAGCCAUGACGCGGUAGUGGCAGAAGAAGCACCGGCUAACUACGUGCCAGCAGCCGCGGUAAUAC
rnacentral:rRNA from 1 species